rnacentral:rRNA from 1 species
UACGUAGGGUGCGAGCGUUAAUCGGAAUUACUGGGCGUAAAGCGUGCGCAGGCGGUUCGUUGUGUCGGCGGGGAAAGCCCCGGGCUCAACCUGGGAAUGGCCGUUGAAACUGGCGAACUGGAGUGUGGCAGAGGGGGGUGGAAUUCCGCGUGUAGCAGUGAAAUGCGUAGAGAUCCGGAGGAACACCAGUGGCGAAGGCGGCCGCCUGGACCUGACCUGACGCUGAGGCGCGAAGGCGCGGGGAGCGAACGGG